rnacentral:lncRNA from 1 species
CUGCAGAUUACUGAUACUCCACAUCGUAUCCAUGACAACUGCAAAGUAUUUCUUGUGUGUGAAGAAAGCUCUCGCCACUCGCCUCAUCUGGUCAAACGGCGAUUGUGCCAUACCGAAGGUGCUUUCCCCAUUCGGUAAGAGACCGCGACCUUCAUCAAAAACAAAAAGCACCUGCACCUCCCCCUCGUCCGGCAGUACAUCCUUCAAGUUUUCAAACUCUCGUUGGAGUAGUUUCUCGUUCCUGUCAUCCGGUGACUCACUAAUUUUCUCUACAGCUGUGCUGUUGAUCAAUUCAAGCCAUUUCUUGUGCACGGCCUCCGCAAUACUGGACGAAUCCAUCUGUGAAUCCAUCCACUGCACUGAGCUCAUCUUCGCACCCUUCGCCAUCUCAUGGAGGACAAAAAGCCACGCUUUGAAGUAUAGCGCCAUCUCCAACUCGCUGUUCGUUCGGCUGAGCUGGUUGGCAAGCUCCCCAGUUCGAGGAGGACAGGCGCUACUGUUUGCUGCUGCCGUGCUGCAAUAGCAAAUAUACACUCCCAGGCGCGACAUCUGCAUCACCCCGCGUGUUUUCCCCGUGCCAGAACCCUGUACUAUGGAGGUAUAGCAGCUGUAGUGCUCGUCUACACAAUAGCCAGUGCUAUAAGCCACAAUAACAGAAGAAUUCAAGACUUACUCUUUGAGCAUUCCUUCCUCAACUUACACAGCUCCUUGUACAAUAUCUUAUGAGCCCCCCCAAUGUAAUCCCUCCGUAACGAUUUCAUCGCCACUUUCAUAUUACUCUCGUGCCACAAACGAUCACGAUCAGGCCCAGUGUUCUCUGCACAGGCACAAGCAAAAGAAUACUCGAGCAGCAGACAAAAACACAGAACUUUCACCUAUCGGCUUCUCCAUGAGGAGCCUUUCACAUUGACGCAGCCACUCGUACGAAACACACUCCAACCUCUCCUUUAUCCACUGUAGCAGCUUGGGGUCUCGUGUUUCUUUCUUUGCCACUAGGUCGCUUAUCGUGUCGGAGCGAUCCUUUACUGCACAGGAAAUGCAAAAAGAACAGUAGCCUAAAGAAACAGCGAAAGAACUUACAGUUGAACAGCCUAUAUAUCUGGAAUGCGAGACGAGGAUUUCCUGGAAACAAGGGCAAAACCUCAUCUACAUCGGCCGUCCACAACCUGGAGGCCGAAUAGCCUUGCCGCUGAAGGCGCUCAUAGUCAGGUCCACAAAGAUCCCGCAAGCGCUCCUCGCCGUCAUCGCAGACGCUCUCCAUUAAACCCUAGAACUUACCCUCACACACCUUUUUCCCACCACCCAAUCUUAUGGGGUCUGUCAAAAUAUAGUAAUUUCAAUUUACUCGUUUCAUCAUUAAAAUUUUCGUCACAUCUAGUAUCAGCUUUCCUCUGAGUCCGAAACCACUGCGCUAGAUCCUCACAAGAAGAAGAUCAAGGAGCUAGUGGAUCACGUAAGUUUUAUUUUCGUUUUUUUGUUUCGACGGAUCGCCAUUCUUUUUUUUGCUCAUCCCAGAUCAUGAAUGCUGAUGAUCCAGAAGUCACCGAAGCUGUAAUCAGAGAUCAACGCAGCGCUUCCAAUGCACUCGAAGCUGUAGUCUACUCCACCUUGGCAGUGCACAACAUGAAACGCCAUGUAAAGUUGAAGCCCAACCAAAAGAGUAAGAAGAAAGAAAGAGGAGUUACAUUUUGGUAAAAGGUCACAAUAUGUACUGCUCGAAGUAGACUAUUGUUGCUGUGCUGUUUCAGCAUUUUGCAUUGCUCGCAGCCUCCGGCACUGGCAUAAGUUGUGAAUUGUACCACUUCUGCAAUUGCCAAAGCAGUGAAGUAUAUACUUCUAAGUGGCUGGAAAUUAUUUUCUACAUCUUGUGUUUUGCUUGGCAUCUGGAUCUCGAGUAAUGGGAAUCACUGCAAGCGCCAUUUAAGGAUUCUGAAGCUUCUAAUGUAGCAAGUAUGUACAAUAACAAAAACAUCAGGUCAACAUGCGGCAAUGGCAGAAGAAUGUUUUCUGAUUUUGCAUGACAUUUCUUCAUCCUUGGAUUUUUUCCCCUAUGAGUUUGCUGUUCUUCUUGUAAUAGGACAAGCAUUGUGAGGAUUAGCAAAGCAAAACUUUCAAUACUAGUAGCAUAGAAGUCAUAUUUAAAUUCUUGCUGCUUGCUAGACUGUAGUAAAGAUUGAUUCUUAUUUAUCCAACAAUUUAUUCUAAGUGCUAGGGGGCUGUGAAUUUCUGGUAAGUAGCAAAUUUUCUUAUAUCUCCGUGUGAAGAGCUGUGUUUAUUUAUUCCAGGAGAAAAAAAGCCAGGUACUUCAAGGAUGGAUUGUACUACCACGGUAACAUGGAACCAAAAUUUUGAGCAAGGUUAUCUGAAUCUGUUGUUUUUCUUCACAGGAGCGCUUCAUCGAGUCUCUUGUUAAUGCGCCCACACUACAACAACAAAGAGAGCUCUGGUAUAAUGCAUCCGCAUGCACCAAAAGUAACUGUCUCACUUUGAUUGCCUGAGCAGGUUCGCUUGUGUAGGAAACUGGCUAUCACAAGCUGGGAUUUUUGCGAAGAUGGUAUCUUUCUUCGUAACCAACAGAUUCACGAUGUGGUUUUGUGCUGGAGUGUGCAAAGGCCAGCUUCGUCUGCUACGCAAGGAGGGCAACUUAUACAAGUAAGACAUCUUUCUCAGGCGUGAUUCUCAUUGAACCACUUGUCCUUUGUUUUCACAGCUACAUUGUCCGCUGUCUAAAUUCAACAGCUGCGUAUUCACAUCUCCGGGACAGAAACUACUUUUACCGCUGCUGCCUGACUGGGAAGUUUUCAUCCAACUGCUGUCCUCGUUUCCUGGAAAAGGAAAACUUCCACAAACUCAAGGUACUACACACGAACGACUUGCCAUGAAUUUCAAGACUUUUGUGCUGUGUUGCAGACAAGGCUUGCUGCGGAGGAGUGCCUGUUGAUCCAGACAGCCACAUUUGUGGAGGAGCUUUCGAAGCGAAUGUACACCAAGGUACGUACCUGGAACUUCUUGUUUGGUGAAAUGCUGUGUAUUGCUUGGUGCUCAGGUGAUUUUGAUGGACCACGUCGACUGGCUAGAACAAAGCGACGUCGAUGUCCUUUGCAAAGCGCUGCAAGCACAUGUAAUUGUAAGUAGUUGCGAAUUUCCACACCCUCGAUCACCUCACACUUGUGAUUUCCAGUUGGUUUUUAGCCUGGGCCGCGUGAUCUGGCGCAGUGCGUCGUGAUCUCCAAGCUACGCCAAUUGCAUCGAGAAAUCUGGAUUCAAAGGUUCGAAGUUCUUUCCUUUUUGGAACUGUUUUUGGAAGCUAAAAACCAACUGUUUCUGCGCAGUGAUCCAAGUAGCAACGAGCAAGGCUUACAUGGACAGAGUAAACAUGUACGCGAGCUUCUUCGUGGCUGUUCGCGUGGGUGGAUUGGCAUCCAUCAAAAUUCCAAUCCAUCCAUCAUCGAGGCUUCACGAUCACAAGCUGGAUCCUAAAGAACCCGAGUCGCCGGACUCGGUGCUACCAGCGCCAUUGUGGAUCGAGAUUUGAUCGAUCAUUCCUUCCACUUCUCCACUGACGUCUAUCGAUUAAUUGGAACAUAACCAUUGUUAAUCAGCCCAAGGAAUAUAUUUGGCCCAAACCAUAUAAAUUGACUAUCCAUGAUGGGAUCUGCACAGCAAACUCCUGAAGCAGAGGUUAUGUAGAAUUUGCUGCAUUGCGUUAAACAUGCUGUUUGAGCAUAUAAAAAAAAAUGGUGGUGAUACUCCUUUCAUGGCGAAAAACCGCAGCCACCUUCGCAGGACUAGGACUGCUUGCCACGAUCAAUUCUUGUGGUGGUCUGUUUUGCCACCUUUGCAGGACUAAUUCAGGUGCAAGCUGAUUUGACUAAAAUAAUAUGGACCCCCUACCAGGUAUUUUGCCAUGAAAGCCAGGAGUGCUGAGCAGCACUAGACCUGGCAGCAGCAACAAGAAUAAGAAGUAUGGAAGUAUAGAAUUAAAAGUAUAGAAGAAUAAGUAAGAAUAUUGGCUGAAUUAGCCUUCUUAACAUCAAUCUUUAAGAUUUAGACGAUGGGAUUGAUCCACAACAUCACCAGAAUGUAAAUAUGUUUUAAACUUGUUUAUAUGGAACAUUAGAUGAAUUUUUUAAUUAAUUGGCAAGUCCAAAAUGCAAACAAAAUCCCCCACACUAUGAAAUUGUCUAAGGCCCAUAACAUUGUGAAGACAAUGUAGCGCCACCACCUCUUUUUAAAGACCAUUUUGCAUAUAACAACUUAAGGAAAACUUUAUCACCAACUUUGUACUUUUGAUGAUGAUAAUGUUCAUUAGCUAAUCUUUUAUCUUGUUCUUGAGUUUGUUUCAUGUUUAACUUUGUCAACUCAAAUUUAUCUUGUAUAUCCUCCAAGAAAUAAAAAAUAUAAAGCAUCCAAACCAAAGGUAAAUUCAAACUCAUGGAAUACUUAAGAAGCUCAUAACCAUAUAUUAGCUUAUUAAUGAGCAUUAUUAUGAGCAAAUUAAAGUGUGUUUACACUCUGGUGAUGUCAUGUCAUGAUGAGCUAUGAUUUGGCUUCACCUAAUUGCUUUCCAGCCUCCACCUAUGUAUCUGGCAUUGCAAUUGAAAAUUAAACUAGAAGUUUCUUUGUCUUAGCACCAAGGAAACAAAAGUUGGGUUCAAAACCAUAAAUUGUUUAUUGUGCACUGUCUUCUUGCCAAAGCUUCGUCAUCCUGCCAGUAAGACUUAUGCAGCUCAUCCUUCCUUUGUUGGCACUAGCUCUUUGGUUCUUGGACACUGAUGAGGACUGUCACCACUUUGAUUUGGAUUGCUAUGACUUGCACGUUAUUGUUGGCUUUGUACAUGAUUACAACGCAGCUGCUCAACUCCCCCUGCUUAACUAGAAUUUAAACUGUUAAUAGAGACCGCAGCGGAUUCAUCCAGACCGCUGCAUGCCUCGUCAACCUGUGCCUCCCCCAGCCCAGCAAUCGUCAGAGAUAAUACCGGGGAGGAAUGCGGCAUAGGUAGUAGUCACCCUUGUACAAGCUCCAACAAGCUGCAGGAGGACGAGCUUCACUAUGAAUUCCCCCCUAUGCCCAGCAUCCACAUAGCCAUUGUAGCAGCCCUUCAGGAACAGCUCUAGAGCAACUUCUAGAGGUUCGGCCACAAGAAUACUCAUGUGAGAAGCGACAAGAAGUGGCUUUGAGCACUCCGCGGGCAUAUCUCCAGGCCCGCUGAUGCAAGUGAUAAUACUCUGCGUGAUCGUAAGUAGCUGCGAAUUUGUACACUCGAGAGUCUCGAACACCCUCACACUCGGGCCAUUUUUUAGCAAAACUACUUAUGCUAAGUCGAAUUUUCGAGACAAGAAUUGCAGUUGCAGAAUUUUCGAGUUAGUUUCGGGCGCGGUUGCAGGGUCAUGCCAUGGCCGAUCUUUCACGAUUGCCAUGCCCUCCCUCCUUCCAGGAUCUUGAGGAUGACCCAGCUGGUGCUGCUCUGUUUUCUUGCGACACCACGAUCGCUUUGCGGCCGACGCUGUUCCUGAAUGGUAUCAAGGCAUUGCAGAUUAUCUGGCUACCGGCGAGUUCCCUGCUGACUUUACUGCCACCGAACGCAAGCGACUUAUUAUCCAGGCUCGUCCAUACUCUCUCCUGCAUGGCCAGCUCUACAUCCUCGGCCGUGACGACGUUCUACGCCGCUGUAUCCUUCCUCACACUGUCAUCACUUCAUGCCAUAAUUCACCUUAAGGCCACUUUUCAUCUGAGGCAACAAUUCGUUUGGUUCUUCAAGCUGGCUAUUGGUGGCCAACGCUUCACAAGGAUGUUGCUACCUACGUUCAGACCUGUGAUCCCUGCCAGGGUGCUGGUCGCCCAACUCACCGCGAUCUGAUGCCGCUUAAUCCUCUGCUUCUGGUGCUUCCUUUUGAGAAGUGACUACGUCACAAAGUGGGCCGAGGCUGAAGCUCUCACGGAAGACACAGCCAAGGUUGCGACUUUUCUUUACAAGAACAUCAUCAUGAGAUUUGGCUGCCCUUUGGAGCUGGUGAGUGACCGAGAUACUCACUUCAUCAAUCAAGUGAUCGAGACCUUGGUGGAGAAGUAUGGCAUCGCUCAUCGCUACCACCCUCGUGCUUGGUGCGCACCAACAAGAUAUGUGUGACAUCAUCAUGAAGCUCGCAAGUGCUUCUCGCACAGAUUGGGAUCACCGUUUGCUCGAUGCACUCUGGGCGUACCACGUUGCUUACAAGGUCACCACCAAAGCUUCACCGUUCCAUCUUGUUUAUGGACAAGAAGCCAUCCUGCCGCUUGAGCUCGAGAUUCCCUCUCUCCGUAUGGCUGUCGAGCACAACUUGGACUGGGACAACACUCUUCAAGCUCGACUGGACAUGCUUCUACAGCUCGACGAGCGUCGACUUCUCGCUUUCCAAGCUCGCGAAGCAUGCCGCAAUGGUAUGAUCGUCAUUUGCGUGCUAAACAUUUUUCUGCUGGUGGUUCUGCUGUAUGAUAGCAAGCACUGAAAAAAGCAUGGGAAACUACGUGUUCACUGGCUUGGGCCAUAUUGCAUUGUUGAAGUUUUUUCUAACGGCUCAGUCCAGCUUGAAGAUUUCAGUGGGAACUUCUUACCAACUGGUGCUCGCUUGCGCAAGUACCAUGAGUGAGAUGAAGCUGCCAUGGAGUUAUGUGCUCUGGGACGGAGCCCAAUAGGUGGGGGGUGAUGUAGAUUCCAACUUUAGUCAUGUCACCAGUGGGAUUGUAUGUAAUGUAUGUCUGUCCUGAAGAUUACCAAGAGGGAGUGGACCUGGGCUAUGAUGGUGCUGAGGCACAUCAAGAAGAAGCUAUGCUGUUGAUGAGAAGCCAAAAACCAGCCUAAGAACCAGACACUCUGUGCUGCUGACUUACACAGCAGCAGGGCUGCCGGGGUUUCUGGUUCUUGGGCUGAUUUUUUGCUUUUCGUUCUCUUGUUGAUGUGCCUCAGCACCCGAGUGUGCUCCCUCUUGGUAAUCUUCAAGACAAACAUCUUUAUUCUUUAUAUAUAAUCCCUUUUUACUUCUCUCCUAUCAUGACAUGGCUAAAGUUGGAAUAUUCUCUCAGUUCUACAUGCACCAUUCACGACUUGAUUUUAUCAACUUUUACAUAGUGCAUCACAGUGUUCAUCUACAAUUUCCUCUGGCUUCAAAAUGCUGCACAAGCUUAAUAUGGAAGAAAUUCAAAAAGUCUUAGAUUCAAUGGAAAGAAAACUCUUAGAAAACAAUUUAAUUUGUGCAAAAUGGGCAAACCACAUUAUAUCGUUCAGUAUUAUAACUUUAUACUACAGAACUACUACAUUACUUCACCUAGGGAAUUUUAUAGGAAUUAACCAAACAUGAAAUUUCAUUAUAUAUAUUUGACAAUUACAACUUUAGGGUUCUUUAGUAUCCAUGUGGCAUUAUAAUAAUUACUGCCUAACUUGGUUUAGUUUCAUAAUGCCAUACAAAAUUAUGUUCUAUGAGGAUGGAGCAAAUUGAUACUUCACUAAUUCAUAAUAAGGAAGUGUUUUAAGUGUAUAGAAUAUAGAAAUGUACAUAUUUAAUAAGCUUAAUAACCUCAGAUUAUAUAUAUGAAUGAGUGGUCCAGAUUAAAAUCAAUUUGACAACUAUAAAAAACUAUAUUAAUAAUUUUAUAUGGCAUUGUUAUAUCAUCACCUCCUAUUUAAAUGAUGGAAGGGAAAUAAGAUUCUCCUAUCGAUAAGUUGAGAUUUGGAAGAACAUCAGGAGGACACACUAUUGAAUUUGUAGGUGGUGUAAUUUCUUUUUAAUCCUUUUAUACAUAUAUAAUUUCUAGAGGAUUUAUUUGUUAAAUAUUAUGUCAUAUCUUAUAAACUUGUAAUCUAACUUGCUGCAACACUCAAUAUAGUCCUUUCCAUUAGGUAUAGAGCCCUUUAAACAAACCACUUAUUAUAAGAUUAGGACAAAUAAACCAACACCAAAUCAUUCAUAUUGAUGGAUGAUAUGAGAGUUGUAGUAUUAUUAUUAUCCCACUUGUAUGUGACUUAAGUAUUUAACAGACUCUACUUGAACCAGUAGAAAAAUACUCAUUAAAUAUUAAUUUCAAGAUUUAGCAUCAUUGGCAAUCAUAAAAACAAACUCAAAUUGAUUAGCAAUAUAUGCAUAACUAUAUAUGAGUUUAUAUAGUGAAGCAUUAAUAGAACUUUACACCCCAUAACAUAUGUGUACUAGAGAGAUAAUAAAUAAUCAUCCCAAUCUAAAUAUUAAAAGUUAUAUACUUUGCAAUUAUCCCCUUGAAGGUUUAAAUGAGCAAUUCUACCAAACUAUCUAUUUAUGGAUACUAAACACUCAUGAAAAUGUGGUAUAUCAACAGCCAAGACAUUAAGAUGUAAAUUACCUUAACCAUAAAUGCAAAACUAUUAUCUAAAAGAAUUCAUUUCAAACAAGAAUGCUAAAACAUUACUUAAUUAGAGAGGAAGUAUCUAAUAGCAAUUGUAAAUGCAUUAAUAAGAGCACAAACUUCCACCUAAGAAGUUAUGAGACCAGAAGCAAUAAUGACAUAUUCAUUAUUGGCAGUUAGUCAUAAAAAAAAUGUCACCAGCUCAAACAAAUAAAAAAUUACAAACACACAAAAAGGAGUGUUAUGAGUUUAGCACCAAAUAAAGUUAUACACAUACAAGAUGAUUAUAAAAAACAAAUUCCCUAAGAUGUUGUUAACUAUAAAAUUAAGAUCCAAAUAAUAAAAAGGUUUGAUUAGAUAUAUCUAGGGCUGGAUGUAUCUAGGACUUAAUAUAUCUGAGACCGAAUUCAAAACCAAGUUCAAAAUAUAGACAAAGAUUGAAUUCAAGACCAAAUAUAAAUAGAGGUCAACUAUAAAGGAUAAUAGCCCAAGAAUAAGAAUGUCCUUUUUUUUCCAAUCAGUUAAAUGUUUUGGGAUAUUUGGAGUUAAAUAUCAUUAAUUUUGCAUACUAUUGGGUUAAAUAACCUCUAAAACACUUGAGACCGAGUUUAAGUUUGAGUAUUGAGUUAAGUAACCUUUAAGAACAUUUCAGACCAAAUCCAAGAAGCAACUUUACAAUCCCUACUAUUUCUGUAGAUUUCAAUGUUAUUUCCUAACAUUAUAUAUUGCAUGUGUAAUUGCAAGUUUGUCUUGCCUUAAACCCUAGCCCUAGUAAGAAAUGGUUUUGAAAAAUUUAAAAUGCAAGUUUAAUUUAUCAAAUUAACAACUUUGUGAAUAAUAUUAUAUGGUUGAAAGACCAACCAAAUAUCUUCAAGAAGUAAGUCAAUAUUUUUGGUAUGUGAAGCCAAAAUGUUUCAAAAUUUCUAAUAGGUAAGAUAUAUUGUCGAAGUUGAUUGGAAGCAUAAUGCCAAGAAGCCUUAUAAAGUAAAUUGAGAUGAUGACCAAACUUCAAAUAGGUUUCACAAGGAAAACCAAUAUAGCUUUUUAUAAUAAAAUGCUAGUUUAACCUAAUUCACAAGUUUACCAAGUCUUAAUUAUAACCUUCCAAUAUUAUUAACUAUACAGAUUAACUUCUUAAUUGUAUAACAUAAGCCCAAUAUUGGUGUUUAAAAAUUUUGGUUUACUUAAGCCAACCUGUGUAGUAGUGGAUAUAGAAUAUGAUGGGAUAUUAUAAAAACUUAUUAUUAUUAUUAUUAUUAUUAUUAUUAUUAUUAUAUAAAAAAUAAUUUAUAAGAUUUCCUAAACACUUGUUAGAACAAGAAAAUAGUCAGUAAUAUACAGAUUCCAUCCACACAAAUGGUGGCCCCAGCAAGAAAUCAAACCAUACACAAAUGCUAGCUAUGGUUGAUACACAAUAAGAUUAAUCUGAAUGAUCAACAAAAGAACAUGUUAUUUUUGUUUAGGAUUAAUAAAUAGUCAAAUUUAUUAAUAAUUAUAAACAUGUUUAUAAUUUAUAAAUCAAGAUUAAUCUUUAUUAAAUGAUAGAAUAAUAUAAGAUUUAAAUAUGUUUAUAAACUAAAUUGAAUAACAACCAUUAGAUGGUAGAAUAUUCUAUGUUAUCUAUACAGCAAAUUAUAAAAAUAAGAUUAAUUUAAAUGUAUAUUAUAGAAUAUACUAGAACACCGUAGACGAAAAAAGCUCAGCAUAUUCACGCUUAAGGACCAGUUUGCUCUCACUUCAAAAAAGGAAGGGUAAGGAAUUAAAAAGACACGAACUUUUUAGACUUACUCCUGAAGAUGCUUGCUUGUUUCUCCGUCAACAAAGCAUAGAUGGAUUUCUCGUGGCAACCCAAGUAGACAGGACGCACUGGGCCAGGAAGCAUAUUGAGCAAUUCCACAUAGGGCGUGAUAUUCUCAGGCUCUGGAAUCAAGAACAAUUUGAGAUGAUGAUCUAGAUGUAUUUUGAGCGCAUCUACUAGGAGAAGCGCCACAAGCAAGAGAAAUAUAGACUUCCACAUAGUGCUGUUACGUUAGGAAAACGCGUGCCCCAAUAGGACUAAAAAUCUUCUAUUGAUAAUAGCUUAUUCUCCUUGUGUAAGAAGCUGCGUGAAUCAGAACCAGGGUCAACAAAAGAUUAAGGAAAUAAUUUUGUUUACUCUUCUCAACACGCUCCAUGUCACUUGCUCGGUGCAGGGCGGUGAUGUCAGUGAUCCAACAUAUCUCAAGAAUCGCUUGCCUCCAACAUUGAGCAGUGAGGGAUCCACCACUUGAACAUCUUGCUCGCCACUCAGCUCAAGUUACCAAAACGACGAAAAAAACUAAAGAUCUCUGUUUACCUGAUCGAUAAAAGGGUCGUACUCGGAUCCAAUCGUGUACAUGACAGCGACGGACAAGAUGCCCACGAGAUGCUUCUCAUUCACAGUGUCGCUGUGAACAUGGAUGUGAUACUCGCUACAAGGAUGAUAUGGAUUCAGGAGAUACAUACUGCUAUGUCGUGGUCGAGAUUGGUGAGUGGCAUUCGCUGGUUUGUAUCUCGUCUGGAGCAGCUUCAAAGAGCACAAUGUCCACCGGAGAUUGCAUUCUGCCACUGCUGCAAACCCUCCAUUCUUUUCCCAAGUUUCCCCAGUUUGCCUAGCUGCAGUCCCAUUCGAGUAGUCAUACUCCUCGGCUAGAAGAAAAGAAAACAAUAUGAUCGAUCAAUUUCGUUUGAAAACUAUAUACCUGCUUGUGUGAUGAUCAUGGCUUGUGCAGAAACUAAUAGCAAUAGUAUGAGAUUCUCUCCAUCUCUCCUAAACCCCAUUAACACUUUAGUCAGCCGUGAUCCGUGGAACGCGAAAAAAUCCUUUUGAGUUGUGAAUGUGGCACGGCCUUUGGCACGCGGGGUCCCCAAAAUAAAUAAAGCAUCAGCAUCAGAAUCUUAUGGGUUUUCUUCCUGCGCGUUGGGUGCUGGGCGCCUCUCAGGUACGUUUUUCUCCCCUCAUGGCGAGGAUUUGGGCGCUCUAAAAAGAAAUGCGAGCUGCACGGGUGUUCAUCCAGUGUCUCCUUUCUUCUCUUCUAGCCUGCCGAGAAUGGCCAGAUGCAUGCUGCCCCAGACGGGAUUCAACCGUAGACGAUGACAAGAGGUAAAGUUUAUUUCCUGUUUGUAGAUCAUUAGUUUUUUCCUAAAACUGUCUAGCCUAGGGUAUUUCCCAAUGCACCUGGUUUGUGUAGGCUUUUCAAUUUAGAGAAGCAUUGGUGUUUCUGAUGAAUCAAGUGUUGAGAGUGAGACUGUUGAGGAUAGAGAUAUUUUUUAGGUAAGUUAAAUUAUCCAUUAUCAUACUAAAUGUUAUUUGCAUAGGGAUUUGAAAAUUUCCUCCAGCUUUAGUAGAAGUCUAAUUAAUUUUGCCACUUAAAAUUCUCAAGACACUUACCUUGGAAUUUCAAGGCUGAUGCAAUAGAAGUAUAUGGCUCAUUGAUCCUAAUUGGAGGGGUGUAUAUAAUAAGAUGCCACUAGGAGAGUAUUGAAUCUUGUCUGGGCUAAUGUUUCUAUGAAUCAUGUUUGCAUAAACUAGGGGAUUAUCAACUCCCACUCCAACUGUAGAACCAUAGGAUAUUGUUUUAGUUGACAGUAAAUAUGGCAAACAUUAGCUAUACACAAUUUAGCUAGACUCCAACAAAGACACAUGACUAGAAUUCACUGACAAGUAUACUCAAAUGACAUGUUUUAUGCACUAUGCCAAAUGGAUUGAAGUUCAAUUUUAUAUUCUAUAAACUAACAUUAGUCACAAAAGUACUAGACAACAACAACAUGUCCACAUAAAUGUCUUCUUAAAUUGCAUGGUAUAGAGUUUAAUAAGAAUACAUGUAGGUUCUUGUUCAACUAGAAACAAUGGCUCAACAUAAGUGACAAAUACAACAAUGCUAAUACACUUGCAAGUAGAGAGGAUGUAUGAUUUGGUCUAUUUCACACAUAAGAGUUCAAAGCUAUAUUAGAUGCAACUACAAAGAUGGAGUUGAUAACCACAAAUGACCUAGACUCUGGUGCAAUGGUUUUGUUGGGAAGCUUUGGCAUUGGAAGCUACAGAAAUGAAGAUAUAGUUUCAAUGAUUGUUAGCUAUGCCAAACUUGUCUGGAUGGGUGGUGAGGUUUUUUUACAUCACAUGCUAAAUGACCAUGCCAUGCCACACUGAUGGGAGUGGCAACUAGUCCUAGCUGCUGCAGGGGUCCUCAAGGCUGACUUCAAGUGACUCUUCUGUAAUGGUGGCAUUUAGGAUGUUCUCACUAGGGCGAGAGGACAUGUUGGAGGAGACUGCAUCUUGGUACCGGGAAAGAAGAUGAGUUAAAAUUCCUACAUCGCUACACUUUCCCAUAUUGAAUAUAUUUGUUUGGCACCUAUGUAGGAACAAGGAUGUAAUUUAAAGUUUAAGGGACUUGUUUGAGAGAGCAGAAACACAGUAUAUAUAUUUCUUAGGUUUCCUCAUUGGCAAUAUGAUGCUUUGACUAUACAAAGAGGCACAAAGAUGGUUGCACAAUUCAAGGUUAAUGGUAUAACUCUAAUAUUAAUGUUGUUCCAAAUUGCCUUAAGAUGUGAAUUCACAUGUUUCUAGUUUUAGUUUUAACAGCACCUAAGGACAUCAAAGCUUAACAUUAUGUACACAACAGAACUUGGCAAUAGUUUUGUUUUGGAGGACCAAGCUAUGGAUGCCAGAGGCCUAAUGAAAAAUGUAUUGUGUGAAGCUCUUUAUCAAGUUCUAAGCAGUGCCAUGGUUUUCAUGCCUCACAUUUGCACUUAUGUUGUAGUCAAUUGGAAUGUUUGUGAUGGGAGAAGGUGGUGCCUAUUGACAUCCAAGGAUGUUGCCUAGUAUGACACGAUUGCAGGAGUGUUAUAAAAACUUUGUAAGUCUCUAUAGUCCUUUGUAAUGCUUUCUAACAAGGAUUCAAUGUGCAAGCAAUGUUCAUGGGUUGGUUUCUUUUCCAAGUGUUCAAGAACAAUGUCUAGGUAUCAUGGACUUGCACAAUAGCCAUGCUUGCAAUAGCAGCAAGGGAGAUGCCUGAGCAAGAUGACAAGAGAUUGUGUCAGGGCAAAGUAUUUGAAAUGGAUUUGAAAUCCACCUUAUUUGCUGUGUGGAACGCCAUGAACAUGCUCUGAGGGGUGACAAGUCAAGGCUCUAAACAGGUUCAGAAGGAGUCAGUGGAAACCAUUCUUAAGGACCUUACAAUUGUAUAUCUCAACUAACUCUUACAACCACAAUAACUAUGUUGACACCAUGGAAGAAUGCAUGUCUAUAGUAGUGUGGCAAGUGUUGUUUGACAAGCUAAAGUAAGUGGUAUACAUGUUAAAGGGCAAGUUUUGCUCACUCCAUGAUAAAGGGGGCACAGGAAAUACCCCACCAGAAAAGGAUUUUACUUGGUAUAUUGGCCAGCCUGGCACAGAUGCACUUCUUCAAGUUUUCCAGGUCUAUAUGAUCAUCUGGCUAGAACAAUUCAUUGAGUGCCCAUAAUUUAGCAACAAUAUAGAUGAGAACUUGCACACUUGAUCAAUUGGUUUGCAAGUGAUAAUCCUCCUAAUUUGAAAAUUGCUUCUUCUGCAGAAAUCAAUAGCAAAUGGCUCUCAAAAUUACACCACUUUGCAUGUGACUCCCUUGAAUUUAAGUUGAGUGAGCCAAUAUGGAUUUAGUGUUAUACAAUGAAUAACUAACUUGAUCGAUAUCUUAUAACUUAGACUUGCUUGAGGGAUAUAUUGUUCUUGUUAAACUACCCUAGCAAGGAGUGCACACAAGACUUGCUAUAUCAAUCGCUUUUUAACCCAGUCUUGUAUGGCAGAAAUGAUGAAUGUGAAUUUGAACUCUUAUAAAGUAAGAAAUUUAAAAUUGUCUAGAGUCUAAGUUCAUCAUGAGAAUAUUUUAUAUAUUCUAGCAGGCAUUUUAUUUUUCACUCGUUUCCUUUAGUAGACAAAGAUAUAUUCAUCAUGGCUUCUAAUAAAUCUUCUAAAAUGGGAUUUGCUUUAGGAACAAGAGUCACAAUCUUCUAAACCAUGUUUUCCUCUUUUAUUUGGGCUUGGUGCCAUAAUCAUGUGGAUGAAACUACAGGCCUAGGGCUUUUUUAUAGCCAGAUCUCUACUUCAUACAGUGAGUAAAAUCCCCUCUAAAGCACUAUGCAAUCUGAUAAACCCUUGACCUACUCCAUAGAAUGAGAGGGAGAAGGAUUGAUGGAGCUGUGUGAGACAAAAAUCAAUGUAGCAAAGUAUAGAAAAAAAUUAACAAUACUCAAACAACAUACAUAGAAUAGUUUUAGCCCAUUCUUGCUCACCUAAAAUCUUGGAUUUAUAAUUUUUCACUACAACAGUUAGUUUAAAUUUGCCAAAGUUUAACGUAUCUUUGAAGCUAUAAAAGAAAUUUUGGCAUUCAAGUUAAAUUUUUUAAUUUGCUAUUGCCAAGAACUCUCUGGUCCUUGGCUCUCUAUAGAUCAAUGACUACCACGGAAAUGAUGGGAAGCUCUACUUGACAGCGAAAGCAUGACUUUCAAAUACUCCAGUAUACAGUAUUUUCGUAAGUUACUGAAAUCCUCGGAAGUUCUCCUGGUACAUGCGGCGCUUUGCUGGUGUCCGUUUGUCUUGAAUGCAUGACGUUGAGCUUCUGAGGGAUCCAGCACCAGUUAACAAAAUUUUUUCUCAGUCACAAAUUUGACCGGCCUUAUUUGCCAAUGUGCUGUCUUUGAUGAUUUUGGCAAUGCAAGUCUGAGAUGCCUUAUCGACGCCGGCAAAGAAUCAAAGUAGGUUUAAAUUUACCGGGCAACACCACUAACAUUCAGGAGCGGAGGAGAGGCGAUGGACUGGGGCCUUUGAGACCAAGAGCUUUGCCGGAGUACUCUUCUCAUGAUGGGAAAAAUUAAAAUUCGAUAGAUUAACAAUUACCAGGCCAGCUAUUUGGCUCUCAUCUGGAAAAGAAAAGAGACUUUCUUCUCUGUCAACUCACCACUCGUUGUAAUGUUUUCAUAUAUGAAUCGAGAUCACUCCUUUUUGUCCUCAAUCUCAAACGGCCGGCCUAUUUCCCGGGAUGUUUCUCUGACCUGGAGAUUUGAAGCCGCCGGGCACUAUCUAUCUAGCCAUUGCCAGAUGAAUGUAGGGCAGAGAUCCACAACAGAAUGGUGCCACGGAAUGCACUACACCCCUGUUGCAUUGAAGUCCAACUUAAGCAUAGCAAAUUUAUUGUUAACCUAUGAGAUAAUCAAAUAAAUAAGGACGUCCAGCUGGGCUCCAAAAGACCCUGGCGCCCAGCUGGGGCAUAAGACGUCUUCAGAAAGCACAAGAGAGUCAAAAGAGCUUUUUCUGUAGGAGAACAAGCAAAACAAUAGUGAUAGGUUGAAUCGUAGUUAAUCUUGAAAAAUCUUAGAACAGCACAGCAUAUUCACUUUUAAGAAUCACAGGAACAUUUGCCCUCGCUUCAAAAAACGAUAAGGAAUUAAAAAACAAAAAUCAACUUUAAGACUUACUCCUCAAGAUGCUUGCUUGCUUUUCCGUAGAAGGAAUGGACGCGAUCCAGGUAGACAGGACGCACUGGGCCAGGAAGCCUAUUAAGCAAUUCCACAUAGAGCGUAAUAUUCUCGGGUUCUGGAAUCAGAUGGAUGUAUUUUGAGCUGGUUUGCAUCUACUAGGAGAAGCGCCACAAGCAAGAGAAAUAUUAAUUUCCACAUAGUGCUGUUGCUAGCUUAAAAAACCGCGUGCCCUAAUAGGACUAAAACGAAUCUUCUAUUUAUAAUAGCUUAUUCUUCUUCCAAGUAUCGAUCUGUUGUUAUCACCCUGUACACAGAAUGUUAGAAGUUGUUUAUUAGCGCGUGAAUUAAUUCUUACAUUGAGGGCAUUCAUCAAAAGCCGGUACUGGGUUUUCGAGAUCGUUCGUGGCUGCAACAUCAGAACCAUGGUCAGCGGAAAAGAAACAAAAGAUUAAGGAAAUAAUUUGUUUACUCUUCUCAACACGCUCCAUGUCACUUGCUCGGUGCAGGGUGGUGAUGUCAGUGAUCCAACAUAUCUGAAGAAUCGCUUGCUAUUUACCUGAUCGAUAAAAGGGUCGUCCUCGGAUCCAAUCGUGUACAUGACGGCGACGACUGCAAGCCUGUUGUCUUCACUCCUGUGGACGAGAUGCCCCUCGACUGCGAGAUGCUUCCCAUUCACAGUGUGCUCGCCGGGAGCAUGGAUGUGAUACUCGCUCACACUGUACAAGGUGCCAUCGAUGAUGAGCGAUCCCGAUGAAGAAUCGCCAAACUCGAGCUAAAGGCGAGUGUACUCAGCAGAUGGAUACAAAGUCUCGAAUAAAGUGCCGCUGUUCUGGACUAGAUCUAGGAAAUGCCAAUAGGAAUUUGGCCCUACCAUCACGAACGCUCCAUGUUUCGUCGGCCAAGUUUCUUUCGUGCCCAAGAAAAGGCCUCGAUUGCAACAUGCAGGAACGUCCCCAAGCCCGUGUAAAUGCAAUCGCUCACUCGUUUCCACCCUGGAGAAAGUGGAAGGGCCUGCUCAGUCAAUAGUAACUGUUGACUUUGGUCGUGCACGAGAGCGUAUGAAUGUGCUUUAUUUUUUCUCUUGUUGCGGCCUUCUGGACUGUGCCGCCAAAUAGGGAGAAACCAUAUUCUUCCUUUGGAAUUUCGUAUUUUGUUGGAAUACAUCCCUGCCUAUUAGUGUUUUUGUGUAGGCAGUAGCUUCUCUGCUUCAGAAAAGAUGAGCCGGUUUGGAGAAAUCAAACGCGGCAUCUGGCUAUAGAGAGAACGUUCCAUUCUAAAACUUUAUGUGUCACGAGGAAUUUUAUUCUGGAUGAUGAUGUCAGGUGACAAACAUAAACAGUUUGGCAUUUUCCUUGAACAUAUGCUUGCAGCCUCCUAGAACUGCGCUGCUCGAUCUACCAAUUCUCGUAAGGAAUGGGGCAUUCCGAGAAUUGAACUCGGGACCUCUCGCACCCUAAGCGAGAAUCAUACCACUAGACCAAAUGCCCAUUAGUCAGCGAAAUUUCCAUGUUUUCCGUACGGAUGAUUGAACAAAAAAAAAUGCAUCAGCAUCAGAAUAUUGUGGGGCGUUGCCCUCUCAGGUACGUUUUUGUCCCGAGGAUUUGGGCGCUCUAAAAUGAAAUGCGAGCUGCGCGGGUGUUCUUCACAGUGUUUCUCCUCUCUUCUCUUCUAGCCUGUCGAGAAUGGCGAGAUGCAUGGAGGAUUUGGGUGUUCCAUGGCGAGGAUUUAUGACGCGGGCGUUCUUCCACAGUGUUUCUCCCCUUCUCAGCAUGUCGAGGACGGCGAGACUGGCGAGCAUGGCGAAGCAAGACAUUAUGACGCGGGCUCCUGGGCCCGGCAUCUGGCGAGAGAUGGCACAGAAUGGCGACGAUUUGGGCGUCCUGGCCAUGGCGAGGCAGGCCAGGCGUUCUUGGGCGAAGAUCUGGGGGUUCUUCCAGUGUUUCUCCUCUUAUCGAGAACAACGAGUUGCAUGGCAAAUGGCAAGGACUUCGACGCUCUGAGCUUGAUUGUUUGGAGAUGGCGGUGAGCGAAGGGAGCCAAGAUCUCUCUUGGAAAUGGCAGAACAAAGCACUGUGAGGUUUCGGGUGUCUUCCCCGAAGACGUUGCAUUUGGAACGCGCCUUUCUUCUCGGCGUUGAAGAAACCGCAUUAGAACAAGGACCUUGGAGCGGGAACAGUUCAGAUGUCUGAUGGCGACUGACAUGGAUUACCGGGCUUUGACCGCGAGGGACAAACGCUCUGGGAACAACCGGCCAUUGACCCUGGCGACUGACAACAAGACUGGGAUCCUCUGACUUAUGAUCCCUUAGCCCAUAAAUACCUCACACAGCCAGCUCAGAGCAAGAGUUGUUGCAAUUCUUCUGGCCGGGAGUCGAGCCACUGGAGGCAGCCGUGAUCCAGUCGACCCAAGCUGCAACCUGUGAAGGAAAUCUAAAUACGUCUCACUUCUACAAAGCCAAAGGUACUCAGCAAGAAGAGAUACGUGAAUCCCACGCUGUCCGGCGACGACUCUUGUCAGUGUUGGCGAGUCGGAUAUAACGACCUCGUCUACCGUUCGUUCUUCCCGGUCAGAGCUCCGGGGUGAUCCAAAACGUAAGCAGCCACUUCUCUGAGAGCGGCAAUGGUCCCUCUCUUCAGUCCUUCGCCAUAUUGUGGACAGUGGCAGCCUCUCGGAUUGUUCCCGCCAAUCGAUUGAUCCAGCAUGAUGCAGUCCCGGGAGAGAAUAGCUUGGCAUUGAUCUCCCUGAGGAUUUCCAGCUCGAGAACGAGUGUUGGGUCGUUUCCUUUGUGGGGCUCGUCUCUUUGCUGCGAAUGGAUUUGUCGAGAAAGAGAGCGCUCGGUUGUGUGUGGAAAAAGCAUGGCCUCAGUCUGAGGGCUCUCUUUUUAUUUGGUGUGUUCAUCAUCCAUAGCAAGCUCUCUCUACAGAGCGUUUAUCAAUGGUGACUACCAUUGUACAAAGAGGGCUCUGAUCGAGAUUAGAGUCUGGGGUGGGCUGCCAGCCAGAGAUCCAAUCACGUGCCAACUACAUACUGUGGCAGGUUUUCUUGCCACGAUGUGGACCUCGGCAUCGUCUUCCAGGAGAGAGUCCUCGGUCAAUCAGACCUCUCAAGAUCUUCAUCCUACUGACUUUCACUCUCUCCUCCAGGUUUUGCUCUUGAAGAAACUACAUAACCACCUGCAACAAGAAUAUGUAAUGUAGAUCACAAAUGUCCAUCUUGGACCUUUCUUAGAGAGCUUGGAAGCUCCAAUUGCCACCCCAUUGGCUACACAGUUGGAGCCACAGGGAGACGAUCAACCUGCACAGCGGCCACGCUACUGAAUCCAAGAGAGUGAGUUUCACAAUUGGCUACGCUCAACUGGGAAUAAUGUCUCGGCCACAGUGCCUCUUACAAGCAGCCAACUCGGGAUUCCUGGUCCUGAUAAUGCACAGCCACAACGCCUACUGAAUGCACUGGAUCGUUUCUGCUCUCUCACUGGCCUAAACCUUGAGAACACUCAAAGUGGGAAAAGACGUCUUGGGUUACCCCGGUAUGGAAGUGAAGGCUCACUACAAAAACAUCAAGAGCUGGAUUAGCAUGAGGCUCCGACGAUCACCUGGCAGGCCUUCGUCGAGCAUCCUUUCAAACAACUCCCCGUGUCUUUCUCCAUGAGCGAGCUCCAAGUCACCACGAGCUUCCUCCUUGCCAGUGACUCGCAGGAUCGUCAAGGCAAGCGCACUUGCUGUAAAGACCCACAGAGAGCUCGCCACGUAAGUCCUGCCUUCCAGUCCAUGCCUGCAAAUCUUUGCAUGGAGCUCUUUGCCAGCUUCUAGCAUUGGCAGAGAAGGAAGAAGGCCAGGAAGUGAGAGAAGAGUUUGUGAAGCUAAGACAGCUUGAGCAAGGGAUGGCUGUUCACUCCCAGUCUGGUAGGGAUGUAUGCCGAGUGUGCAAGUCUGAGCUGGUUUUCAAUAGAAUGAGGUGUACUCUGGGCGGCACUUAUCCUGGGAUACGCCAGUGACGCAGUGAUCGCUCUAGAGCUCGUUGAAAUAAUGCUGUCCAGCGGAUGUCAGCCAAACUCUUGGACUUUCAUUGCGGCACUGGUCGCUUGUGAGCUUGUGCAGACCAUCAAAGCAGUGACGAAGCUUCUUGGGUCUGGUCCUUGCAAGUGAAAACACAGGCAUAGAGCCUCCUCGCUCUCUCUGUUUUGCACGUAAUCCAUCAUCAGUGCGUUCCACAGCACUAUGUCCGGAUGUAAGAUCUUCUCAAAGACUGCUCGAGCAUUAGCUUAGGCUCCCACAUGUCAUGCACAUGUCAACCAACAAAUUUGUCCGACUCAAAACCCACACUUGCAAGCCUGAUGGUGACGAGGCAUAUAGACAAGCUUUCCAUAGUACCUGUUGCUUCCUCUUCGGCUCCCAAGCUCAAGCAUGUCAUUGAAACGGCAAUGUAAGUCCCUUUGUGCUAGCCUCCAUCCUGCUAAACAGCUCUAGAGCUGACUCAUCAUCCCCAGACUCCACAUAUCCCUAUAUCACAGCGUUUCAUAGCAUCAUAUCUCAGUGCCGGUUGUUCUCAACUUGAGAGCCCACUGCAUCUGGAGUACAUGUCCAUCAGCGAGCUCACCACAGACAUUUCUGAUCCAAAUCCCAAACCCUUUGGGACAACCCAAACAAACUCUGAAGAACAAAGCGACAGCUCCAAGGAUCAGUCAGGAUCAGAAGGAGAAACUCCCAGCAAGAAACCGAAGCCAGCAUCUCAACAAUCAGGCUCAGCUCACUCUAGCAACACUAGCUCCAGCAACAAACACUCCAACGAUUCAACUCUACUUUGCCGCUGCCUCACACGCAACACACCAGCGAAUCCAGGUCGAAAGCUGCUGCUUUGAGAGCACCUCAUCAUCAGCGACAAUGAAGACAACUCACACCAGCUUCCACACUCACCCCAGCACUUGGAUCCACUCGAAUCAGCCCCAAAACUGACAACUUCUCACCAACAACUCAACAUCUCCAAAGGAAAACGUUAGCUGCUCACCUAGAACUCGGUUUCUCCACCAGCUGAGAACGUUAUUCUCACCGCCCCGACCCCCUUGACACGCUCCACGAAGGAAAACAUCAACUACCUUUGCCGAUCACUCACAGAACACAGAACCAUGCCUCCUCAAGCAAGUGGUGUGGUCGGUCCAGAUUCUUUGAGGUGGUUGGAGAUGAGCGUUUUGGAUUAAUGCUGGAUGAACGGCUCAGAUGUGGCACUGAAAUUAAUGUAUCAGUUGAACGGCCUAAAUCUUCCGCUUGAAAUUUUGUUGAAGGGGUGGAAUUUUUGCUGAUGCUGGUUGCAGCAUUUGCUGGAGGACGCAUGGUUGCGUGUUCUACGAGUGAUCAGCUAAGGUAUUCGAUGUUUUUUAUCGUGGAGCGUGUCAAGGGGCUGGGAUGGUGAGAAUGACGUUCUCAGAUGGUGGAGAAACCGAGUCCUGGGCUAUCAGCUGGCAUUUUCCUUUGGAGAUGUUGAGUUGUUGGUGAGAAGUUGCUGGUUUUGGGGCUAAUUCAAGUGGAUCUGGGUGCUGGGGUGAAUGUGGAAGCUGGUGUGAGUUGUUUUCAUUGUCGCUGAUGACGAGGUGCUCUCAGAGCAGCAGCUUUCAAGCUGGAUUCGCUGGUGUGUUGUGUGUGAGGCAGCGGCAAAGUAGAGUUGAAUCAUUGGAGUGUUUGCUGCUGGAGCUGGUGUUGCUGGAGUGAGCUGAGCCUGAUUGUUGAGAUGCUGGCUUCAGUUUCUCGCUGGGAGUUUCUCCUUCUGAUCCUGACUGAUCCUCGGAGCUGUCACUUUGUUCUUCAGAGUUUGUUUGGGUUGUCCACGGUUGCUUGUUGGGAAGAGCUUGGUGUAGAGCUACUAGCACUGGGAACAUUAAUGUCCGCAUGGUUUUCUUGUUCAGUGUGGUGAGGAUGGCACGGUCGAGAAGCUUGAGAAGGAGCUCAUGGAGAUGAUGAGCCACAUUCACACAUUCGCCAUUGAGUAGAGCUCCGUAGACCUGGAAACCUCCCCUAACACAUGCACGCCCAGGAGCAGCUACACUCACGACUGAAAGCCAGGUUCAAACGGCUACUAGUUUAUUUUCUCUAUUCUAGGCAUAUGCUGGCGGUUAGAACCGCCAACAGGAGAGUGGUUUUGAGAGACCCCAGCGCAACUAGGGUUCCCCAUCUCCUUUCCCAUUCCAUUGUACUUCAAGACUCCUGAAUCGCACCCCCCUAUUUGCAUUAUCUUUGACUUGAGUCUCUCUCCCCGCCGAUCCACCACUUCUUUCACCCCUCCUCAGCUGGCGACCUCUGGAGAUCAGGCGCCAGUUCUCAGAUUGAGUUCUAGCGGUAGCAGCAUUCUCAUCCAUCUCCGAAUUUUCCCAGUAAACAUUUGGCGACCACGGUGGGAUGGAUCGCUGAGAGAGAUCAAGGAACGAGAACCUGGUAACCAUUUGCAUUUUUCGAAAUUUUCUUGUUUGCAGAGAUUCAAGACCACUCUUUCUCUCCACAUCGAGUAUGCCACCACCAACAUGGGUACCCGGAACACGCCUCGCUGCAGCGACCACUAGAGGAAGAAAACUACACCAGCAAAUUUUCGAAGAAAUUAAAGAUCUUUCAACUAGACCUCCUAGCGCUCUAUCCGAAUGAGGAGAAGAAGACCUUUGCAAUCAACCCCAACAUCAGCACCGAACUCUUCACCGGCCAGCAUCGAGGAACCGACAGCAAACCCGAGCAUCUCCUCCGAGAUCUUCUCCGACCAGCAAUCUGAGAGCCCAACUCCGAAUUCGAGCAGAAGAACACCGGCUGCAAGCCAGAGAACUCGCCGGCAGAGCCUCCGAACUCUUCUCCGACAACAGCUCUGCUUUACCGACUAGACAAAAGAACAGCAAGAAUUCCGGCAACAGAUCUUCCCGACCAACGCUUCUUCCACACAUCAGCCGCACGUUCUCCUACGACGAGCCUCCGACACUCUAUCCCGGCAUCGGCCAAGUCACCGAAGGAAAGCUCCCGAAUGCACCAACAAUCUUCCGACAGACUCUCCGACUGAGCACCCAAACCAGCACUGAGGACAUCAUCCGACGACGACACGACGCUAAUCUCCACGCUGCCAAGACUCUGUUCGACCACGCCAUCGAGUACGCCGGCCUAGAGACCAUUGACGGCGAAAUUGGGUCUGAUCACCCCAACCAGUCCGACUAUCCAAAACUCUUCGUCGAGCUUCAUCUCGGCACCGGCACCUGGAAGACCAGCCUACACUCAGCACCUCGUCUCAACAAAUCGAUUGGAGACUCCACCGACAAGCCCAAGCCGAAGAAAGAAACGAAGAAGAAACUCCUGGAGUACGACUGCUACCCACUUCCGGACGAGUUUUCCUCUGAGCGCCCGAACACCAGCCCAGACGACUCAUCGCCACCCAGUUGAACUAUGAUCCUGCCCAACAAGAGUGGACCGACUAUGAGAAGUUCUACAGCAUAGUAACCCUUAGAAGAUUAUACAAUAGCUACUGCCGAAGACUAGCUUCGAAGCUCCAGGCCCGAAGAUAUUUCCGGAGCCUUAAGAUUAUCAUUGACACCGAUUCGACAUUCAGCCAGAUACCCGACAACAUCACCGACAACCAAGUCAAGAGUUUGAUGAAGACCUUCAUCCCCGAGAUACCAACAUCCAAGAUAGUUUUAGUGUACAAGAACCCACGGCCGAAAAGAGCCGCAUGAACAAGCCGAGGAAAGCAGCCAGCAAACAACAAGAAGACACCGAAAGACUUCAACGACACCUCCAGCGAGAGUUGAAGAGACUAGAGAAAGAGAGAAAAGAAAAUGCCACGCAGUGGUCCCACUUUGUACAAAGAGAAAGGUACAUUACUGAUGAAUUGUUUCCCAAAAUUGCAGCCGGCGAAGAUGCCGGAAGGAUUUUAGAAGGCUACCAGAAUUUUAGGACACCACCUGCUUCUCCGACUGCAGCACCGGAGAACCCACCAGAAACCCAGCCGGAAGUUCAGCACACUCCCCAGCACAGCUUCCACAACCCACUCUUCCGAGGACAAACCGACCCAAGAACUUAUUUCUCCUGGACUGUACCGACAGCUUCACCAGCAGUCCUCGGCACACUGUUUUCGACGCCAGUAUCAGCUUCUACCUCGACCACACCGUUCGCCUCCGCACCAGACUUCUACAACUUCCAGCAACAACCAGACUCCCCGACGCUCAACUCAGUCGAAUAUGGCCUCCGACCGAUAUACAUUGUUGACCCAGACGAUCGACCAGCACAUCACCAGCAAUACGAGUUCGGCCAAUCCUCCAAAUACACACUUGACCAACUUUUCGACCAGACGUUCAGCAGACCCCACCAACAACCAGAACCAGACAUCGAUCUUCAGCAACCGGACUUACAGGUAAUACUCCGACAAUCCUCUCCGGAGACCUUGCUGAAGCCUGCCGGAGAACAUCUGCUACCAUCAACAUCAACACUGCCACCACAGAACACUCCACUAACUACUUCGUCAAAUGUCCCGCCAAACACUCCACCAAACACUCUGCCACACAGUCUACCAGACAUUCCCCCAGACAUCAUCACCAUGACAAUGGUACUCCCUAACACGGUCAUCGGCAAGCUUGUCACCUACCCACAAUUCAAAGGGAAGAAGACCGAAGACCCAGAAAAGCACGUCAUUCGCUUCAAGGAGGCCGCCCGAGUCAACGGCCAGCAAGACAACCUCGCAUUCCUCUUCGGCUGCACCCUCAAAGGCCACGCCGGAGAAUGGCUCCAGACGACCGACCCGAAACUCACCUUCGACGAGCUUACCAAAGCCUUCACCGACCACUUCAAGUCAGCACUCAGCCAGUCAGAGAAGCUUCAGAAGAUACAGAACAUCAAAAUGCGUACUGGUGAAACUCUCGAAGAAUACACUGAACGCUUCACCAAACACGCCAACCGCUGCAAGAGCUCUUCUACUGACAUACUUUUAUACCAGUGGUACAUGUAGGGACUAGCUUCACACUUGAAGAAAGCUGCCACCAAAAUCGACACCAGCGAUUACAAGACUCUUUCCAAAGACUUGAAAGAAGUUCAAAUCCGCCAACAAACUGCCCGAGUUGAUGAACCGGAAGACUUUGACUCCGAGGAAGAUGAGGACGACCUCCUCGACAGCCUCACCAGCAAGUCCAAGGACAAAGUCGGCAUCCGAAAGAUCCAGAAGCUCCUCACCAAAUUCACUGCAUCCGGCAACAAAUCCGACGUCCGAACCGGCGUCUGGUGCACAAAAUGCAAGAAUGAAGGACACUCAGCCACUGACUGCAAACUCCAGAUCGUCANNNNNNNNNNNNNNNNNNNNNNNNNNNNNNNNNNNNNNNNNNNNNNNNNNNNNNNNNNNNNNNNNNNNNNNNNNNNNNNNNNNNNNNNNNNNNNNNNNNNNNNNNNNNNNNNNNNNNNNNNNNNNNNNNNNNNNNNNNNNNNNNNNNNNNNNNNNNNNNNNNNNNNNNNNNNNNNNNNNNNNNNNNNNNNNNNNNNNNNNNNNNNNNNNNNNNNNNNNNNNNNNNNNNNNNNNNNNNNNNNNNNNNNNNNNNNNNNNNNNNNNNNNNNNNNNNNNNNNNNNNNNNNNNNNNNNNNNNNNNNNNNNNNNNNNNNNNNNNNNNNNNNNNNNNNNNNNNNNNNNNNNNNNNNNNNNNNNNNNNNNNNNNNNNNNNNNNNNNNNNNNNNNNNNNNNNNNNNNNNNNNNNNNNNNNNNNNNNNNNNNNNNNNNNNNNNNNNNNNNNNNNNNNNNNNNNNNNNNNNNNNNNNNNNNNNNNNNNNNNNNNNNNNNNNNNNNNNNNNNNNNNNNNNNNNNNNNNNNNNNNNNNNNNNNNNNNNNNNNNNNNNNNNNNNNNNNNNNNNNNNNNNNNNNNNNNNNNNNNNNNNNNNNNNNNNNNNNNNNNNNNNNNNNNNNNNNNNNNNNNNNNNNNNNNNNNNNNNNNNNNNNNNNNNNNNNNNNNNNNNNNNNNNNNNNNNNNNNNNNNNNNNNNNNNNNNNNNNNNNNNNNNNNNNNNNNNNNNNNNNNNNNNNNNNNNNNNNNNNNNNNNNNNNNNNNNNNNNNNNNNNNNNNNNNNNNNNNNNNNNNNNNNNNNNNNNNNNNNNNNNNNNNNNNNNNNNNNNNNNNNNNNNNNNNNNNNNNNNNNNNNNNNNNNNNNNNNNNNNNNNNNNNNNNNNNNNNNNNNNNNNNNNNNNNNNNNNNNNNNNNNNNNNNNNNNNNNNNNNNUAUCUCGUCACCAACUGGUAAGUCUGACUAACCCUCCGGACACACCUCCAACGCACGCCCCAGCACUGAAUACCAACAAGGACACUGUCGAUGCCUUUCAAGCUGAGAUACAACCCGGAGAUUGCGACAAUGAAGUUCCAACCAUCGACCUCCGAAUCGGCCGACACCAAGUCCGAGGAGCCAUGCUUGACGGCGGCUCUGGCGUCAACAUCAUCGACGAGAGUCUCGUCAGACAAAUCAACCUUGGUCCAGUUGAGCCAGCACCGUUUAACAUCCGAAUGGCCGACCACCGAUCAGUCCGACCCCAAGGAAUUAUCCGGAAUGUCAUCACCAAUAUCAGAGGCAUCAGAGUUCCAGUCAACUAUGUCAUCCUCAAGCUUCCGAAGGACUCCGACGGCUACGCAGUCCUCCUCGGACGCCCGUGGCUCAAACACGCUCGAGCAAUGCACAACUGGUCGACCAACCAGAUCUUCCUCCAAGGCCCGCAAGGUCCAGUAACAGUCUCGACAAACUCGUCGAAACACCUUCUGACGAACAUCCGACCGGUUGACCUCGAAGACUAUGACCUCAAAACCGGCCUCGACGACUAUGAAGAACAGCAAAUACUCCAAGCCUACCCCAACCUCGAACCCCUCGCCGAAAUCGACAUCUUUAGAGUAGCAGCCGACUUCAGCCGAGAGCGACCCCAGCUUACCGAAGCAUUGAAGAACCCGACAACCAGAGACACUACCAUCGCCACUCAGCCAGGAUUCAUUGUCGACUCCGACCAGAAAGUCGCCUAUGUCCCGACAAUACCGACCAACCAACCUCUCGAGAAGAUCAACCUUGCAACCGACCAGAAUCAGCAUCACAUCAUCCUCGCCAAAGACAUCUCUGAGAGUUUCCGGAACAAAGGCCUGAGACUCCUCCAGAAGAAAAAGCACUUGUUUGCUUGGAGCUACAAAGACCUGAAAGGAGUCUCACCAGACUUAUGUCUGCACACCAUCACCCUCCUCCCGGAUGCCCGGCCGAAGCGACAGGCACCUUACCGGAUGAACCCAAACCUCAUGGAGCAAGUCAAGAAGGAGCUCAACAAACUCCUCGAGGUCGAAUACAUCUACCCGAUCUAGAAUCCGAUCUGGUUGUCUCCUCUGGUCGUUGUGCCGAAGAAAAACGGCAAGCUCCGAAUCUGCGUCAACUACAAGCAGCUCAACGACGUCACCAACAAAGAUAUCUUCCCGAUACCCUUCACCGAUGAAGUUCUUGACACAGUCGCCGGACACGAAAUGUACUCCUUCCUCGACGGAUUUUCCGGCUACAAUCAGAUCACCAUCGCCCAAGAAGACCAGCACAAGACAGUAUUCAUCAGCCCAUGGGGAGCAUACGCCUACCGAAGAAUGCCUUUCGGCCUCUGCAAUGCACCCUUCACUUUCCAGCGACUCGUCACCAACACCUUCCGAGACUACCUCACUGACUUCAUGUGAGUCUUCAUGGACGACUUCAGUGUCUUCAGCUCCGAAGACCGCCAUCUCGAAUGCCUCGAGAAAUGCCUCGAGAAGUGCGAAGAAAACAACAUCGCCCUCAACCCCGAGAAAUGCGCCUUCUUCGUCAAGUCCGGAGUACUUCUCGGCCACAUUGUCUGCAAAGACGGCAUACUCAUCGACAAAGACAAAGUCGAAGUCAUACUUCAGCUCGACCCGCCAAAGAACCAAAAGGACCUCCGAAGAUUUCUCGGCAAGAUCGGAUACCACCGAAGAUUCAUCCACAAGUACGCCGACAUCGCCAAACCUCUCACCGACGGCCUUCGGCUUGACGCCCAGUGGAUCUGGUCGGACACUCAGCAGACAGCAUUUGACAACCUCAAGCUCAAGCUCACUACCGCACCAAUACUCGCCAAACCAGACUGGACCAAAGAGUUCCAUAUCCACGUCGACACCUCUGACAUCGGCACCGGCACAGUGCUUAGCCAAGCCCAGAGAGACAACCGAGACCAGCCGAUUUACUACGCAAGCAGACUACUCACCUCGAAACGAACGCAACUACACCACCACCGAGAAAGAAGCCCUCGGCAUGGUAUACGCCCUCCAGAAGUUUCGGCACUACAUUCUUUCGAGCAAAGUCAUCAUCUUUGUUGACCACAAGGCCCUCCUUUACCUCAUCAACAAGCCCAUACUCUCCGGCCGAAUUUCCAGAUGGUUCCUUCUACUCCAAGAGUACAACUUUGAAAUUGUCCACAAGCCCGGCCGACAGCAUGAACAGGCCGACUUCCUCAGCCGCAUCACCACCGGAGAAUCGCCCGAUCAACUCGCCGAUGAUUUGCCCAACUCCAACCUUUUCCGAAUUUCAGUACCAGCAACAUGGCUCGACGACAUCUUCGCCUACCUCAGCUCAGCAAAAGUCCCAGCUCAGCAUACAAUGCCAGACCAGAGAAAGAAUUUUGUCUCGAAAACCCGCCGGUACUCCAUCAUCGGCGGCAGCCUUUACAAACUCGGCAUCGACAACAUACUUAGACGAUGCAUCAAAGUUCCAGAGACCCUCAGGAUUAUAAACGAAGCACAUUCUGGACCGUCCGGCGGCCACUUCACCUCCGACACAACCGUCCGGAAGAUUCUCCAGUCAGGACUCUGGUGGCCGACAAUGUGGCGAGACACCGAAGACUUCUGCCGGAAAUGCGACACCUGCCAGAGGAAUCGACUUCCGCUGAAAACUCAGAGUCAACCGCUCAACCCAACCUUCCCGGUCACGCCUUUCCAGAGAUGGGGACUCGACUUCGUCGGACCCCAAAUCACCACAGCCCGGAAGAACCAGUACAUCAUUGUCGCCACCGACUACGCCACCAAAUGGGCCGAAGCAGCUCCACUCAAGCAAGCAACCGCCAAGGCAACAGCCAAGUUCAUCUACGAGAACAUCAUUACCCGCUUCGGAACACCACUCGAACUCGUCACCGACCGUGGCAGCCACUUCAUCAAUGAAACCAUCGGACACCUUACCGAAGAGUUCCAGAUCUGACACAAAACAUCAACGCCCUACUACCCGCAAGGCAAUGGCCAAGCUGAAGCCACCAACAAGACGCUCAAGACAAUUCUCAAGAAAGUCAUCAGUGAUUCCGGCAAAGAUUGGGACGAGAAACUCGGAGACGUUCUCUGGGCCUACCGGACAGCAUACAAGAUCACCACCGACAUGACACCGUUCAAGCUCGCCUUUGGAAUAGAAGCCAUAACACCAAUCGAGUUCAUCAUUCCCAGCAUGCGUGUCGCGGUGAAGUACGACCUGGAUCCCCGGCACAUCUUCCGGCAACGACUGCUCGAACUCGAGAAACUCGACGAGCUCUGACUCAACGCCUUGUGGACCCUCCACACCAUCCAGAAGCAAAGAAAAGCCAGGCACGACCGAAGACUCGCUCGAAACAAAACUCCGAAGUACUCUCCCGGCGAUCAUGUACUCUGGUAUCGAGGACCAAUCACUCAGCUCGGCAACAAGCUCAAAACCAAGUGGCAAGGACCUUUCAUCAUCACCGAACUCUACCCGAACUCGACAGCGAACGUCGCCACCCUCGCUAGAGACUUCACCGAAACUGUCAACCUCAACAAACUCCGACCAUACUACGUCGACCUCUGCAACAUCCAGACCACCUUUCAGCAACACUUCCGACCGCAACUCGUCACCGGAACCAAGAGAUUCCCCAAACACUCUCCCGGCCACUCGAACCGAACACUCGACACCAGCCGUCCGUAUCGAGAAGCAACACUAGAUGAUACCACAAUGAGCAUCAUCGACAAUCAGCAAGCCUCAUGGUAUCAACAAUGGCCAACACGCUACUCAGAAACCAUCCCCGACAACUUCUCCUGGACAACCCUCCAGUCGCCACUCAACUCGGCACAAAAUGCUGAGUUCCAAGCUACCGUCCGAUCAACUCCACGAGAUCAGAUCUGCACCGUCCAACAAUGCUCAAUCUUAGCCGCCAGAUCAUCAUCUCCACAACAGAUCACAGCCCUCAGAUCUUGCCACGCAAUCGCCACCGUUCAAACUAAACCCCACCAAGUUUCAUGGGACACAAACCUAAGUCGCCAACAGCAGCUCGCCAGCACCCUUUCCAGCGCGCCACCAGCUCCAGCAACGAUGCCCAAGCGCAAGAUGAGAGCCAUUCCCCCAAGACGCCUCAGGUAUGUCCGCCACAGCUUGCCCAAGCUUCCGACCGAGGCAGUCACGGCAUGGCUGGUCGAGCAGGGGUUCGGCCAGCUCCUCGAGAUCUUCAAAACCCCAUUCGAUCACCACCUCGCCCGCAAGCUCGCCAAGAAGUAUGACGAGAGCCGCAACACGAUCUCAGAUGACGUCAACAACAUCGCCAUCACGCCGGCCCUGCUCAGCAAAGUUUUCAAGAUCCCUCGAAAAGGACUCGACAAGUUCCCCAAAGAGGUUCCCAAGGUCAUCCUCAAGCCAGGCGCAUCCCCAACCACAGAAGGGCCCAAGUGGGAACACCAGGAGAAGCUGCGCGCCCUGCUCCUCCUCUACGACCUCCGUCCCACUGACAAAUCUAUCAGCAAGCUUACCACCCAAGCCUAUCACGCCAUGGACCGAGGAGAGCGAGUCAACGUCACCAGCCACCUGAACACUAUGCUGGCGAAGCAACUGAAGAAAAUCAAUGAGAAACCUACGAGAGGCCAAACCAUCUCCACCGUGAUCUUCCCGAUGCUCAUCGCUUUGCACGCCGCCCACCCCGACAAGCAGCCCUGGUCUACCAGCUCCUCGACUGAACACAGCCAUGCUGACGACGACGACUCAGCAUCGAUCGAGACCCUGCCCUCACCACCGCACAAGAAGAAAGCCCAACCCUCCUCAUCGAAGCAUCAUCCACCACCCAGCCCCACCCCCAGCAAGACCAGCAGCGAAGACACCUCAUCCGACGAAGAAUCUCCACCACCUUGCCGCCAUAAGCUUCGUCAAACUCCUCAACGUAAGAACUGCCACCGCAGCACGGAGUACGUUGUCCUCACCAACAGGGACACCACAAACACCACAGAACCCCGCCAGCACCAGCACCAAUCAAUUCCAAGCCGACCCCGAGCUCGUUCACCUUCUCCAACACCAAUCUUCAACAACUCAGAAGCUUUCACUGGCGACCAGCACCACGACAACAACGAUUCCCAUCACCCAGACAAUAUCACCGCCAGCAACAGCAAGAUCUCCAGCGGGCACGUCAACUCCGGCAACGUUAAACCUCUCCAUCCAUCAGCAGCACAUCCGACUCUCAACACCACAGCAGAUGCCCCGUUGAACUUCAGCAAAAAUCCGAGCUCUUCAUCAAAUAUUACAGUGCCUCAUCUCGACCGUCCAUCUUCAACGACCAUAAUUAAAUUCGCGCCAACUCAGCACUGUCAAAUCUUAACAAACUUGACAGAUCAGCGCAGUCCAUCUGCAUCCGCUCAGCAUCAGCCACCUCAGCAGCAAUCAACGCCCCAAAUCACACCGGCCGACCCCAUCAAGAACCCAGCUCCCGACUCAGUUUCAGCGCCCUACGGCUCGCCUUCAGCGCCUUCUCCACCAGUCCAAGCAUCUCAGCCGCACCAGCAAUCCACCAUGCCUCCACUCCAGUCCCAGGUACGCAAAGACAGAACCUCCUUCGACCACGAAAUCCGCCAAGAACACGAAGACAAGAUGCAAGAUCCCGGAUACCUCCAUCGCAAGCUCUUCGAGGCUCUGGAGCGCCGCGCCAGUCAUGACAUCAGCCAGGCCAUCCGAGGCCACGUUCCCCAGGCUCAGGACAUCGGCCAGCACCUCUCCCGCAAUGGCGCCUUCAUCAACACCAGGAACGCAGUCCGUGCUGAGUUCUACGAGCCGCUCGUCACGGAGAUCAGCAAUCUCCACAACACCAUUCACCACCUCCAGGGCGACAUCCAGAGCAUCAAGACAACGGCCGCCAUCUCUUCUCGCGCCAACAACAACCCCACUGGCCAGCAGAACUACUGGCGAGACAAGUACCACCACGGAGUCACCGUCAUCCAGGAGCACCAGCAGCGCAUUGACCAUCUUGAAGCGCUCCUCGCCGAGUAUGAGGAUGAUGAUGGCUCAGACCCACCCGACAGUGAGCCCAACGAUAACCUGACCCUCCCCCAGCAGCGCCACCGACUGCGACGCCUGCAGCGAGCUCUGGAAGCGAACCACCUCCACCACCAAGCAAUGGACACUGAUCAUGGCCCCGAGGACGGAGCCUAGAUCAAGCAUGGGGCAGUGGAAACCUCCCCUAACACAUGCACGCCCAGGAGCAGCUACACUCACGACUGAAAGCCAGGUUCAAACGGCUACUAGUUUAUUUUCUCUAUUCUAGGCAUAUGCUGGCGGUUAGAACUGCCAACAGGAGAGUGGUUUUGAGAGACCCCAGCGCAGCUAGGGUUCCCCAUCUCCUUUCCCAUUCCAUUGUACUUCAAGACUCCUGAAUCGCACCCCCCUAUUUGCAUUAUCUUUGACUUGAGUCUCUCUCCCCGCCGAUCCACCACUUCUUUCACCCCUCCUCAGCUGGCGACCUCUGGAGAUCAGGCGCCAGUUCUCAGAUUGAGUUCUAGCGGUAGCAGCAUUCUCUUCCAUCUCCGAAUUUUCCCAGUAAACAAGACCUUUCCUAUGCACUUGCCGAUGGUGCGAUCCAUUGGGCAAAGUUCGUAGUAGAGGAGGAGGGCUUUGAGGUGAUCCAUAUGCUGCUCCUUGAUGUCCUCCCAUGUGAGCUCACUGGUAAUCUCUAGAUUCGCCUUGAUGAUUUGCUGUGGAACUUCUCCUGAGAAUUUGAGCAAUCCCUUGUUGGAGAUUUUGAAAAUGGAAGUGAUUCUUGCUGGGCUAAGGGUGAUCUCAUUGCCACUGUCGGUUAUGGUGCUGUUCUUGGGGUUGAAGGAGGUGGCCAGCUUCCUCACCAGCUUUUGGUCAGGGUGUGCCAAAAAGGCCUUGUGGAGGAGCUCAAAUCCACGGUCCUUGAGCCAGGCAGUUGUGUCGUUGCUAGGGAAGCCUAGGAAUAUGGUGCAUGAUGUACUUGAGGCGCCGGGGUGGAUGAGCUUGCAUCAUUUUCUGUGAUCGAAGUGCUUGCCUCAUUAGGGUUUCUGAGACCCGUAACUUUUGGUUGGCCGAUCAUAUUCUUGGUGAUGAACAGUAGAGAUUUGUUGACCGAAUGACUUGGCUUAAUUGAAGAUUAAUGGUGGAGAUUACUGAUGAAGUUAACUUAAGUUCAACUGCUGAGGUGGCAUUGAUCUAACAGUAGAUUUGGACUUAGAGAUGUUGUUUGUUGCUGCUGUUUGUGGUUGAGUUGAGUGGAGUUGUGUUGAACUGAGUUGAGUUAAAGUUUGUCUGUUGGGGUGAUUGUUGACUAUUGGUUUCAGGGUGUCAUCUAGUCAAUAGCUCUGAGAAUGCCUUGAAGAGGCUAGUUAUGCAUAAUCAAUACUCAGCCGAAACUAAAGUGAAGAUCAUGAGAUGGACUCAUAUCAGUACACAACCUUCUCAUAGACAAAGUUAUAAUACGGGUACAACCUUAAAUAACUAAGUUGGACAUCAUCAUUUUUAGCCAAGGCGCAAGGCUACCAAAACUAAGUCAAGAGCUCACUACUCUCAUAGAGUUUAACAAAAUACAAGGUGUUAAACUCAUAGAGUUUAACAAAACUUGCUACCGAGCAUAAUGCUAUAGAAAAAAGCCAUAAGGGUCUUUUCUACAUUAACUCCAAACUCUAUCCAACUCAAUUGCAUUAGCCCUAAAAGUUAACAUCCUUUUCAGGCUGCAUCAUAUAAACUACAUACUAAGUUGUAAGCUAAUUGAAGUCAAUUCCAACCCUUGCACUAAUUUGUACUGGCUUAUAAAAACAUGGUUUUUAAACAAGUGAUCAACAGAUCAAUCAUUGGAAAAGCUUAAAAAAAAUUGUGGAAAAAUUUUCUAUCAUAGAGAAAGAAUGACUCUCAGUUCAAAAAUGCAAACUUUCAAGACUCAGCCAACUUCCUCCUACCUACAAUUUCACAUAGGUUCACCUCAACACAAAUUCUCAAGACCCAUAGUAUAUUUAAGCUUUGAAUAUCAUGCCCAUAUUUCUGAUAUCCAACAUUGACAUCCGCAAAAAUGCAAAAUGAACAUCUAAGGCUUGAUCAUGAAGACCAUAUCUUUGAAUAUCUGCAUUGCACUAACACUUUUCUUAAACCACUUUCAAGAUCCAAUAUGAAGCCAAAACAUUAAUAAAAAAAAUGACAUGGAAAAUCAAACUCUAAAGAAAAUUCCUCAUCACCCGAAACAACAAUACCACUUUCUCCAACACAAGUGUUAGCAAUGUCAAUGUUGCAACUACACACAUUUUUUAUUCAAUAAUUUACUCCAAGUGCUAAUGGCUCAACUGACAAGCUAUAGCAAGUGAAUGCUAUAACCUUUUCCAACACAUUAUGGGCAAUUUCCCUAGGAAAUAAAGUACUAACUUAAGCUUAGCAUAAUAACUAUCGAGAAUCCAGUCAAAGCUACUAUAAUGCUACUUUGUGUAAGUAGACUAACUUCACUAUCAACCACUUUGGGGUUGAUUAUCAUUUGACCAAGCAACUUCAUAAACACAUUACUCAGUAUCACAUGGAUAUGAUAUAAAUAUCACAAUGACUUGAUUAUUAAUUGAGCAACACCAAGAGUAAUACCCAUGUCAUUACUUCAAAGGUUUAUAUGAGUAUCAAAUAUUAACCCAAUUUGAUAAAAUGCAACACAAAUGCCACACCCCACUGAUACAAAUUUACAACAUUUAACACCACUAACUUUUGUUCACAAUACAAACAAGCUCAUACCACUCUCUUUUUGACCAAACUCAAAACUUAUCCAACACCAAGCUACUCAAAGAGCAAUAGCAAAGUUCUCUGAAAAAGAAUUGAACAUUGUAACCCAAGCUUUCCAAUAGCAAGCCUUGACAAAAAUAAUAUAGCAUUUCACCGCUAUCCAUCCCGCAACUCACCAUUUGUAAGACCAUCAUUUCCAAUAUGUAUCAAGGUAGGGACUCUUCAUUGCAUAAUGUGAACACGAGCAAUGAAUCACAUCUCGUUGCAAAUUAUCUCUCCAAGAAAAGAAGAUGAUUUAUGUGUUUGAUCCUUCGUCCCUGAUAACUCUCUUUUCGGUCUUAUCUUUUGACCAAACCUCAAACUUGCUUUUGCAUUGCCUUCAAUACAAUCCAAGAAAAUUUUAUGAGAGAGCACAGCAAUAAUUACUUGAAUCAAUAGAUUUAUCCCUAUAAUCUUGAUUGAUCCACUUAUAAUCAUGCCUAGGAAGGAUCCACUAGUGCUGUGCUAAACAGGUAUGGACCAGUUUAUUUGCCAUUCAUAGCAAACCCAAGGAAAGUUUACUUUCACCCAUGGUACAAGGAACAACUCAUGGAACCAUCGAUAGGUUAACAUCAAUUCUGCCAACUCAAAAAGUAACCUCGAGUUGCUAAUGUGCCUCACUCACAAGCCCAAGUGCAAACUUAUGUAAAAUGGUACAACUUAUUCCAUCCUAUGAGCCCAAGAGCAAGCUCAUACAAUAUGGUAUAAAAGGUAACCAAAAUCCAUACCCAAGGAACGAUUGCGAAGCCUUUACACCCAAACGUGUACUCACUCGGAUCAUCGUUUUCAUCUCUGCGUAUGCAAUGAGACUAGUUGCCCAAUCUUAUUGGAUAGUAUUUGCCAAGACUCAUCCUCUGAUACCAAAUAUAACACACAUGCUUUUUACCAUUUAUCCUAUGGUGAUUUACCAUAGGAUAACCACGAAGGGGAACUUAAACUCUCCAUAUGCCACAUAUCAUAUGCCACAUAUCACAUGCCACAUGUUCAAAAGACAGUGGUAUGGAAUCCGAGUUUUAGGGCCUUGUGCCACUGAAUGAAGGAAUGGUGCUAAACUCCCAAGUAUGGAGCCAAGGAGCAAUGGCACUAGAGCACGGAACAACUCUCGAACAUAUAGCCCAAGGAGUGAAAGGACAGGAGUACAAAGCAACUUGGAUCAAUCCUAGAGCAACCAACAUCCUAAUGCCAAAACCAGCACGCAAAACAGAGCCAAACAGAGUCUGGUGCUAUUUCAACAUACUGAUGGUCUAACGUAAGGAUAUGAGCACUCCACUAGCUAGCAUGGAGUGGAACUUGGGUUUAGACCCAAGCUAAAUGCAAAACAAAGAUAGGCACGCAAGUAGGAGCUAGACUAUGCCUCAAAUUAGUCAGCCAUGCCUAAUUUACCCUUUAUCCCUACUAUAGAUUUGGAACUUUGCAUAACCCUCGCCCCCCCGAGAAACACACACUUUGGGCUUUCACCCCAAGCCUCCCUUAGUACCAGGAGUUAGUCUUUGGGACAAACUUGAAACUUACUAAAUAUGGAAUGUCUCUAAAUUAUGAAUUUGGAUAUGAGAUGAAUACCAUUAUGUUCAAAACAAUUUUUACAUUCUAUAGAUAUGCCAAAUAAGCAAAUCUAGACACUUUCCAUAAAUAGCAUUUAGGACCAGAAUGAUACUAACACAAAGGGCAUGAUAGCGAGGGUGUUUGGCAAGCACGGUAAGCUAUUAUGUAGCAAUAUAACUAGUCUCAAUACGCGAGGGUUCUUGUCACUAGCCAGUGCAAGACACAACGAGACAGGAACUCCUUACUAGGCUAAGUAUGUUUAGCUAAUAGCAUGUAAGAAUUCCGUCCUUAUGCUCAUCCGGUCUAAGUACACUCAAAAUGCCUAGUUAACUCCACUAGCACAAAAGGGAUUAAUAAAGGGUCCAGCAAUACUGACUUCUUACUAUUGUGGCAAUAAAAAAAGAGUGUUUAUAAGGACUGGCUGACAAGUAACUUUCGAUACUCGAAGUCACAUUUGCGACACUUCCCUAACAACUUCUAACAAAUGGAACAAUGACCAUAAAAAACUCAAAAAACCAAAGCUCGAAGAAGUUUAUAGCCAAGUUGUGCAUAACAAUGAUCACGAAUCUUACAUGAAUUAAUUUCAAUGCUAAAGAAGAAAUCAUAGGACAAUCCAUAAUAUCCUCCUUAACACAUCCAUAAGUUAAACUUUAUAAUGCCAAAACUAAUGAAGAGCAUAUCUGUAUCAAUCCAAAAGUUAAGCAUAACGAAACUAUACUUAACAAGUGAUCAUUAAACAAUCUUCCAUGAAUCCAUCUAUAGCAAGAUGUAACUCACUUCAUAAUAAGCACAAAAGAAAUUAUCAAUGAUUGAUAUAUCCCCAACUCAAAUUCAAAAAAGGAUUUAAACAUUUCAAUAUCGAUCACUAACUCUUCCUUUUGUAAUGUUAGUAUAGUCCAUGACUAAUCACUUUCAAGGAAAAGCCAAAGCUCAACCCCUACUAAGCAAUCUCAUCUAAAACACAACUAACUCAACUUGCCAUUUAGUUCAUUUGAACAUCAAUACAAUUGCUAACUAGUAAAUGCAUGGAUACCAAUAACACAAAGCUACAACCUAAGUAUCAACAUUAUUUGCAUCGAAACUAAUGAAAUUUAAUAUCAAUCUUAUGGAGAGAUAUUUCACUUCACUCAAAUCUUAACAUCAACAAUGUCAACGAUAAGGCACCACUUCAAUGCCAUCAACACCAAAACAAAGCUAGAAGAAAGCAAAAGUGAAUAGCCACUCAAAGCUUUCUAGCAAUCAAACUAACUAAAGUCAAAGAUACUAUACUUAGUAUUUGAGACUAGUUCUUCAACAAUACUUAGCUACAGAUAACGCAUCAUCAAGAAGUGAAUCACCACAUCCAAGACUUAAUGAAAUCAAAUACCACAGACUAAACAUAACCAAAUGAUAUCGACAGAGGUAGAGUCAACAUACCAAUAUGGAAAAACCAUAUAAGUCUAACGACACAAUCCUCCGCAACACCAUCCAGUAAGCAAGUUUAUCAUUGCUAGAUUAUCAUCUAACAAAGCAAGUAUUAAUAAUCCUUUGAUAAAGUCUACAAGUAAUCACUAGUCACAAAGCAACUAAUAAUCACUCGUCAAUUUACCUUUUAUAAGACCCAAACAUUAAACUUAUGUCAUCGAGUUAUAUACUUGCCCAACAUAAAUGUAAUACCCCAGGUACGAGAUAAAACUUCAUGGACAGACAUAAACUAAAUGACUACUCGAAUCCAACUCAACUGCAAUAAGCUCACCAAUACGUUUAAUCAAUAGCUCUGAGCAUGCCUUGAAGAGGCUAGUUAUGCAUAAUCAACACUCAGUCGAAACUAAAGUGAAGACCAUGAGAUGGACUCAUAUUGGUACACAACCUUCUCAUAGACAAAGCUAUAGUAUGGGUACUAACAUUUUAACCUUAAACAACUAAGUUGGACAUCAUCAUCCUCAGCCAAGUGCAAGGCUACCAAAACUAAGUUAAGAUCAGUGAGAGCUCACUACUCUCAUAGGGUCACCUUUCUUAAAAAAAAAUGCAACGGCCACUUUUCUACACCAACUCCAGACUUUAUCCCACUCAAUUGCUUUAGCCCCAAAAGUUAGCAUUCUUUUCAAGUCGCAUAUAAACUACGUAUUAAAAUUUAAGCCAAUCGAAGUCAAUUCCAACCCUUUCACUAGUUUAUACUAGUUUACAAAAAUGGAAAGGUUUUUGAGCAAAGUGAUCAACAAAUCAACCAUUGGAAAAGCCUAAAAAAAUUUAUGGAAAAUUUUCCAUCCUAGAGAAAGAAUUACCCUCAAUCCAGGAAUGCAAACUUUCAAGACUCAACCAACUUCCUCCUACUAACAACUUCACAUAGUUUCACCUUAAUACAAAUUCUCAAGACCCAUAGUAUACUUAAGUUUCAAACAUCAUACCCAUAUUUUUUAUAUCCAAGACUAACAUCCGCAAAAAUGCAAAAUGAACAUCCAAGGCUUAAUCACAAAGACCAUAUUUUCGGAUACCCACAUUGCAUUAACACUCUUUUUUAACCACCUUCAAAAUCCAAUGUAAAGCCAAAACACUAACAAACAAAAGGACAUAGAAAAUCAAGAUUUAAGGAAAAUUCCUCAUCACUCAAAAUAACAAUGCCAUUUCCACUAACACAAGUGCUAGCAAUGUCAAUGCCUCAAUUACAUACAUUUUCCAUCCGACAAUCUACUCCAAGUGUAACAGAUUCACCAACAAGUCAUAGCAAGUUAAUGCUACAACCCUUUCCAACACCUCAAUGAGUAAACCCUUUAAGAACCAAGGUACUAACUUAAGUUUAGCAUAAUAGACCACUAUUAAGAAUCCAGUCAAGGCUACUUCAUUGUUACUAUAUAUAAGUAGAUUAGCUUCACCAUCAACCACUUUGGGGUUGAUCAUCAUCUAACCAAGCAACUUCGUAAACACAUUACUUAUUAUCACAUGAAUAUGAUAUAAAAAUCACAAUGACUUGAUCAUCAAUCAAGAAACACCACGAAUAAUGCUAAUGUCAUUACUUUAAAGGUUUAAUGUGAGUAUCAAGUGUCAACUCAAUUUCACAAAAUGCAACAUAAAUACCACACUCCACCGAUAGAGACUUACAACACCCAACACCAUUAAUUUUUGUUCAUAACACGGACAAGUUUAUGUUGCUCUCUAUCUUACCAAACUCAAAACUAAUCCAACACCAAGCUAUUCAAGGAGUAAUACCAAGGUUCUUUGAAAAAGAAUUGACCAUUGCAACUUAAAUCUUCAAUAGUAAGCUUAGACAAAAUGGUUUAACGCUUCACCACUAUUCAUCCCUUGACUCACCACUUGUAAGACUAUUAUAACCAAUAUGCAUCAAAAUAGGGACUCAUGAUUGCAUAAUGUAAAUAUAAGCAAUGAGUUAACACCUUAUUGCAAAUCAUCUCUCCAAAAAGAAAAAAUUAUUUACGUGUUUGAUCUUUCGUCCUUAAUGGUUUUCUUUUCGGUCUCAUCUUUAACUAAACCUUGAGUUUGCAUUUGCAUUGUUUUAGUCCAACCAAAGAAAUUUUUUUGAGAGAGCACAGCAAUAACUAUUUGAACCAAUUUAUAUUACUAGUUUUUUAUUAUCUAUUUUCUGUAUAUAUUUUUGUAGUUGUUUUUGAAUAUUUAUAUAUUUGUUCCAGGUUUUCUAUGUAAAUUUUUUUUCUGUUUUUUAAAUUUUUUUCUAGUGAUGUAUAUGACAUUACCAUUGUUUCUAUUUUUAAAUGUUCUACUUUUUCUGAUUUAUAGUCAUUUGUAUGCAAUAUUACUAAUGAAGAAAGAAGGAUAUAUACAAAUAAUAAAAGACAAUACACAUAAUAAGAAACUAAUAGAUCAUAUAUGGGUAAAAGAUAUAAUAUAUACAGAAGCAGGAAUAGCACCUGCAUACUGGACAGAUCAUAAUAAAUUAUAUAUCAUAAUAAAAAUUAUUUAAAAACAAAAUAAAACCAAGUGUUGCUGCAACUCAACAUGCAGCAAUUUUAUUUUCAUUUGUAAAGGAACUCAAGUUACAAAGAUAGUAUAUAAGUUAUAUAUAUGGAUCUAAAGGGCUUUUAAAGAUAUUUUAAGUUAGUCAAACCCUAGAUACAAAUCAAUUACAAUUCACAAUUCACGGUAAAGCCUCACAACUAUGGCCAUAGCCUUCGCAAGGGUUAUUAUGGCCAUGAUUGCUUUGCAUCUUUGCAAGCCUUGUGUCAUGACAGUUACAAGCUCCAUCAUUUUCUCCUUCAUUGACAUUUUGUUUUUCUCAGGGUGAGCUCCAGGAUGCAUUUUGCUUUCUAUUUCAAAUUUAUGUGUACAUCGUGGUGUUAGGGAUCUUGGUGAGAAGGAGAGCUUCAUGGUUGAGUGUUGUUUCUCAUGUGAUUUGCAUAGCCAAAAGCUAAAUUGAUUUUCUAAAAUAAAAUAAAAGUUUUUAAUAAUCCUAUAUCUAUGCAAAACCAUUGCAACAUAACCCGAAUCAUAGGACUACUACAUGCUUAGUAUUCUAAACGACCUGGCCACGAUCUUGCUUUUCUCAGGCAACUUUUGGGCGUUUCUGUUGCAAAUCGUCCGCAAACUUCUCUGUGGCAUCUAUUGGGCGCUUCUGUCGCGGAUCACCUGUAAACUUGAAAUGUCACAUCAUGAUAUCAUGGGAAUAGCGUAUCACGAAUGUGUCUUACCAAGCUCCUUAAUGUCAGAGACGUUUGGAAUUGGAAGCUUAUACGUGUCAGGAAGCAGCAGAUGGAGCCAUGAUUUCGCUUCCUCUGAUUGCUUUCCAGCCUCCACCUCCGUAUCCGGCACCGCAAUUGAAAGUUCAGCUAGAAGUCUCUUCGUCUCAGCACCAAGGAAACGAAAGUUGCGUUCGAGACCAUAAACUGUUAUGUGCGCAACAGGCUCCGUUUUCUUGCCAUAAGCUUCGUCACGCUGCAAGUAAGACUUAUGCAUCUCAUCCUUCUUCCAUAACUUUGGUGGCACUGGCUCUUUAAGGUUUGGUUCUUGGACAUUGAUGAGGACCGUCACCACUUUGAUUUCGAUUCCUGAGACUUGCAUGAGCCUCGGCCUCAACACAGUCGUAGAAGCUUUGUUGAGCCACCCACACUUUCUACUGUUCUCAACCGAAACGAGCAGCGCAGUCAUCCCCAAGGAAGUCCAGACCGGAAUAACAAUGUCAUAACCUCGGACUUUAUUGUUGGCUUUGUACAUGAUUGCACAGCCUCUCAUGAACGCAGCUGCCAGGAUCUCGGGUGUCAACUGCCCCUGCUUAACCAGCAUAAAACUGUUAAAAAAGACGGCAGCGGAUUCAUCCAGGCCGCUGCAUGCCUCGUCAACCUGUGCCUCCUCCCAGCCCAGCAAUCGUCCGAUAUAAUCCCGGAGAGGAAUGCGGCGUAGGUAGUAGUCACCCUUGUACAAGCUCCAACAAGCUUGCAGCAAGAUGAGCUUCACUAUGAAUUCCCCCCGAGGUCCAGCAUCCACAUAGCCAUUGUAGCAGCCGUUCAGGAACAGCCCUAGAGCAACUUCUAGAGGCUCCCCACUCUUGCGGUUGAGAAUCCUAGCGGCCGCUUCACUCACAACGGGCUCCACGGGCUGACUGAUAUGCACUCUCGUACGAUCGAGGGAGAUGAACGUAAGGAUACUCAUGUGAGAAGCGACAAGAAGCUGGCUUUGGGCACUCCGCGGGCAUAUCUCCAGGCCUGCUGAUGCUGAAAGCAAGGCCAACGCCUGGCUCUCAGCCAUCUGUACCUUUCCGGUAGAACCACAAACGUCCACAGCUUGCCCCUGAAAUUCCCCGUCCAGCACCCCAACCAGCUUGGCUUCCGCAAGAUCGAGGAGGCUCCACACGUUUGGAUUGCUGUCAAGGCGGCUACUCCAUAGGGGCCUUCCAUACCUCAACAACUGCGCUGGAGACAAAUCCGUAGUCCGAGGAACAAGGUCCAUAUUCACCACCUGAUAAAUAGGCCUUAAAAGCCGCAAACCCAGGAUAUUAGCUUUCCUCGACUGGUCCUCGUGCCGUCGAGGCUGCAGAUUACUGAUACUCCACAUCGUAUCCAUGACAACUGCAAAGUAUUUCUUGUGUGUGAAGAAAGCUCUCGCCACUCGCCUCAUCUGGUAAAACGGCGAUUGUGCCAUACCGAAGGUGCUUUCCCCAUUCGGUAAGAGACCGCGACCUUCAUCAAAAACAAAAAGCACCUGCACCUCCCCCUCUUCCGGCAGUACAUCCUUCAAGUUGUCAAACUCUUGUUGGAGUAGUUUCUCGUUC